rnacentral:rRNA from 1 species
UGAGGAACAUGACCUUCGGCGGGGAUAGCCGGCCCAACGGCCGGGUAAUACCGCGUACGACCACAUGGGGACAUCCCUGAGUGGUGAAAGCAGCAAUGCGCCGAUGGAGUGCCUCGCGGCCUAUCAGCUAGUUGGUGAGGUAACGGCUCACCAAGGCAACGACGGGUAGCUGGUCUGAGAGGAUGGCCAGCCACAUUGGGACUGAGACACGGCCCAGACCUCGUACCGGGGAG